rnacentral:rRNA from 1 species
AUUGAACGCUGGCGGCAGGCCUAACACAUGCAAGUCGCACGAGUGGCGGACGGGUGAGUAAUGUAUGGGAAACUGCCUGAUGGAGGGGGAUAACUACUGGAAACGGUAGCUAAUACCGCAUACCCUCGGAUGUGCCCCGAUGGGAUUAGCUAGUAGGUGGGGUAAAGGCUCACCUAGGCGACGAUCCCUAGCUGGUCCGAGAGGAGGACCAGCAACACUGGAACUGAGACACGGUCCAGACUCCUACGGGAGGCAGCAGUGGGGAAUAUUGCACAAUGGGCGCAAGCCUGAUGCAGCCAUGCCGCGUGUAUGAAGAAGGCCUUCGGGUUGUAAAGUACUUUCAGCGGGGAGGCGUUACCCGCAGAAGAAGCACCGGCUAACUCCGUGCCAGCAGCCGCGGUAAUUC